rnacentral:rRNA from 1 species
AUUGAACGCUGGCGGCAGGCCUAACACAUGCAAGUCGAACGAGUGGCGGACGGGUGAGUAAUGUCUGGGAAACUGCCUGAUGGAGGGGGAUAACUACUGGAAACGGUAGCUAAUACCGCAUACCAUCAGAUGUGCCCAGAUGGGAUUAGCUUGUGGGUGGGGUAACGGCUCACCAAGGCGACGAUCCCUAGCUGGUCUGAGAGGAUGACCAGCCACACUGUAAGGGAGACAAGAUCCAGACCUCUAUGCGAGGCAGCAGUGGGCAAUAUUGCACAAUGGGCGCAAGCCUGAGGCAGCGAUGCCGCGUGUAUGAAGAAGGCCUUCGGGUGGUAAAGUACUUUCAGCUGGGAGGCGUUACCCGCAGAAGAAGCACCGGCUAACUCUGUGCGAGCAGCUGCGGUAAUUC